rnacentral:rRNA from 1 species
GAUGAACGCUGGCGGCGUGCCUAAUACAUGCAAGUCGAGCGAACGGACGAGAAGCUUGCUUCUCUGCUGUUAGCGGCGGACGGGCGAGUAACACGUGGAUAACCUACCUAUAAGACUGGGAUAACUUCGGGAAACCGGAGCUAAUACCGGAUAAUAUUUUGAACCGCAUGGUUCAAAAGUGAAAGACGGUCUUGCUGUCACUUAUAGCUGGAUCCGCGCUGCAUUAGCUAGUUGGUAAGGUAACGGCUUACCAAGGCAACGAUGCAUAGCCGACCUGAGAGGGUGAUCGGCCACACUGGAACUGAGACACGGUCCAGACUCCUACGGGAGGCAGCAGUAGGGAAUCUUCCGCAAUGGGCGAAAGCCUGACGGAGCAACACCGCGUGAGUGAUGAAGGUCUUCGGAUCGUAAAACUCUGUUAUUAGGAAAGAACAUAUGUGUAAGUAACUGUGCACAUCUUGACGGUACCUAAUCAGAAAGCCGCGGCUAACUACGUG